GAUUCUUAGGAGAUGAAAUCAGUCUUUCAUGAGACUAAAGGUCAGGUUCGGUGGAUUCAAUCAAAGUGGGAGGAGGAACACAAAAGGCUUGAACAUCAUAUCAAGGGCCUGGAACAGGCUGCAUCUUCCUAUCAUAAAGUGCUUGAGGAAAAUCGCACGCUCUUCAAUUAAGUACAAGACCUUAAAGGGUGUAUUAGGGGCUACUGUAGAGUGAGACCCUUCUUACCAGGGCAAGCGGAUGGCCAGACUACUGUAGAUUAUAUUGGAGAAAAUGGGAGUAUCAUGAUUGUAAAUCCUCUUAAGCAUGGUAAAGAUACAAGGAGAGUAUUUUCUUUU